rnacentral:lncRNA from 1 species
CACUGAUGCAGAGAAGGUUGGGAGAGGUUGCAGCCAAGCUCGGGAUGUGGUGGCUGGGGACAGCAGUGGCUUUCAGAGAGCUGCAGGCAGGGGAGCCAGACUGAGAGGGAUUCACCAACGAGCGGGUGUGAGGAAGCCGAGAAAAUUGUGGUGAUGAAGCAUGGUGGUGAGCCGAGGAAGUGGUAGGUGCCAGAGGAAAUUUGUGUCAUUGUUCUAAUCAGAGGGAGGCCUGGGGAUGUUUCUAGGUGGGGACAAGGUGCCAGUGGAGGAGGGGUUAAACAUGCCAACCAGCAAUGGCCAAGCUGGCUCCCUGGCCCAUAUGCUCGUCUAGCUGUGCUUCUAACUGUAGGAGCACGCUCAGAACCCCGGUGUUUCAGCGCUGGAUGCGUAGCUUUGAGUUUUGUUUGUUUUACCAUGAGAACAUGCUACUGUUUUAUUGGUGAGGCGAAAAACAUCAGCCGGAACAAGCGUGUGCUGAGGUCUACCUUGUUUCCUGGAGGGGCUCAGGGCAAGUUUUAGCUCAGCUCAGAUCUUCCAUAAACAUAACAACCGUGGAUAAACAAACGAGUUCUCUCUACACAAUGCAAUCGUGCCCCGUCUUAAAGGGGAACAAAAGACUGACACGUGCUUCAACACGGAUGGACCUUGAAAACAUUAGGCUUAGGGAGAAGAGCCAGGCACAAAGGGUCAAGUGCAGUGUGAUGCCGUUUGCGUGAAGUGUCCAGGAGGGGCAACUCCAUAGAGAUGGAAAGUGCAUCAGUGUCUGUCAGAGACUGCAGGCAGGAGAGGUGGGGACAGGGUUUCCUUUUGGGUGGUGAAAAUAUUUUAGAAUUAGAUAUAGGUGGUGAUUGUACAAUAAUGUGAAAGUACUAAAUGCCACUGAAACGUAUCCUUUUUUUAUUUUUUAUUAUUUUUUAUUUUUUUUUAAGGGCUGCACCUGCAGCUUAUGGAGGUUCCCAGGCUAGGGGUCUAAUCGGAGAUACAGCCACCAGCCUGCACCACAGCCUCAACAAUGCUGGAUCCGAGCCAUGUCUUCGACCUAUACCACAGCUCACGGCAACAUGGAUCCUUAACUCACCAAGUGGGAGGCCAGGGAUCGAACCCCACAACCUCAUAGUUCCGAGUCAGAUUCGUUUCUUCUGUGCCAUGAUGGGAACUCCUACUUUAAUUUUUUUUAGUUUUUUUUUUCUUUUUCUUUUUAGGACCAAAGGUCUGGCAUAUGGAAGUUCCCAGGCUAGGGGCUGAAUUGGAGCUGCAGCUGCCAGCCUACACCACAGCCACAGCAAUGCCAGAUCCAAACUGCCUCUCCAUCCUAUGCCACAGCUCCUGGAAACACCAGAUCCUUAACCUACUGAGCAGCGCCAGGGAUCAAACCUGCAUCCUCAUGGAUACUAGGUAGGUUCAUUACCACUGAGCCACCAUGGGAACUCCCAAGAAUUUUUUAUUUUUAGCCAUACCUGUGGCAUGCAGAAGUUCCCAGGCCAGAGAUCGAAUCCUCACCUCAGCAAUGACCAGAGCCACAACAAUGACAACACCAGAUCCUUAAUCCACUAGGCCACCAGGGAGCUCUGAAACAUAUACUUUAAGAUGGUUAUUUUAUGGAGUUCCCACUGUAGCUCCCUGGGUUAAGGACUGACAUUGUGAGGAUGUGGGUUUAAUCCCUGAGCUCACUCAGUGGGUUAAGGAUCUGGUGUUGCCACAACCUACCACAUAGAUAGCAGGUGUGGCUCGGAUCCAGUGUUGCCGUGGCUGUGGCAUAGCCUUAGCUGCAGCUCUGAUUGGACUCCUGGCCUGGGACCAUCCAUAUGCUGCAGGUACAGCCAU